UCGAGAAUCAUUCGCAAUGGGCGAAAGCCUGACGAUGCGACGCUGUGUGUGUGAUGAAGGCCCUCGGGUCGUAAAGCACUUUCGCUUGGGAACAAGAGAGAUUGGAUAAUACCCAGUUAAUUUGAGGGUACCAGGUAAAGAAGCACCGGCUAACUACGUGCCAGCAGCUGCGGUAAUACGUAGGGUGCAAGCAUUAAUCGGAAUUAUUGGGCGUAUAGGGCGCGUAGGCGGACUUUUUAGUCGGAUGUGAAAUCCUAGGGCUCAACCUUAGAACUGCAUCCGAAACUGGAAGUCUAGAGGGUAGUAGGAGAAAACGGAAUUCCACAAGUAGCGGUGAAAUGCGUAGAUAUGUGGAAGAACACCUGUGGCGAAAGCGGUUUUCUAUAUUAUUCCUGACGCU
rnacentral:rRNA from 1 species